UCCGGUUUGGCACCGGCAGUCUCCCAUGAGUCCCCGACAUAACUCGCUGGCAACAUGGGACAGGGGUUGCGCUCGUUGCGCCACUUAAGGCAACACCUCACGACACGAGCUGACGACAGCCAUGCAACACCUGUGUAGGGCCCUUGCGGACACCACAUCUCUGCGGCUUUUCCCUACAUGUCAAGCCCUGGUAAGGUUCUUCGCGUCGCGUCGAAUUAAGAAACAUGCUCCGCUGCUUGUGCGAGCCCCCGUCAAUUCCUUUGAGUUUUAGCCUUGCGGCCGUAGUCCCCAGGCGGAGCACUUAUCGCGUUAGCUGCGGCACCAGGGGGGUCGAUACCCCCGACACCUAGUGCUCAUCGUUUACGGCGUGGACUAC
rnacentral:misc_RNA from 1 species